UACCAUCGGGGGGAGGAGCUAGAAGAGAGGAAAGACAAAGAAGCGGGCGUUUCGCGAGUCGCCCGGCUACAACGCAAAAAACGAAGGCCGGAGCCCGAUGCGACCGCCGGAGCCGGCGAUUGCGAUCCCGUGCGUCUCCCUCGCCUCCCGCGAUUUUACCUCCACCACAGCGCGCCAAAUCUUCCCUGUGUCGUCCCAAAUUGCCUCGCGCGCCAAAUCGAAGAGCCUCCAUGGCUCCAUCCCUAAAUCGCCGCAUCCCCACCCUAGAACUGCUGCUGGCGUCGCAUCAAGGAGGGGAUGGGUCAGCAGUCCAAAUGGGCGCGUGCGCCGGCGCCUCAGUUCGUCCCGCCAGCGGCGCCUCAGACUGUCUCGCGAGCGCCUCGUCCUGUCCUGCCGUCGGCGGACCUGGCACUUCGAUCUGGACGCCCCCACGACCACAGCCAUCCGUGGAGGCCUCCCGGCAUGAUGGCUGGCCGGGCUGAAGCAACCGAGAGCAGGUUCUUUCCUAGGACUUAAUUGAGCUUGCAGAGUCGAGGAGCAAAGAGGAGAGCGAGCUUUGAUCUGAAUUUUGCAUCUGUAGUUUGAGGUAUAGUGCUCUAUGUAUACUCCGCUUCGACUUGUUCAGUUCUUGGUCCGAUGGAGUUUGGACUCUUGGAAGAAUUUGCUUCUCCUUCCAGGCUGCAUGAAUUAGUUGCAUUUUCUUGAUCUGAGAUGGCUGUUGAACCAUGCCUGAGAGGGGCAGGAGAGUCUUGUAAACAAAGCUUGUAAGCACUUUUUGAGGAACAUAGAGCACUUUCCAUUUGGCUACAUGCAGGUUGAAAUUGAACCUGCAGUAGCAUUUUCUGUUGGCUUGACAGCUUUUAGUCCAAAUGUCUUCCAUUUGGCUACAUUUUAAAAUUGAACUUGCAGUACCAUAUACCGUUGGGGAACUCAGAAACUAGCUGCUUCUUGGCACGAUCCCUGCAUCUAUUUUUCCCUUUUUACAA